GACAGAGGGUGCAAACGUUGUUCGGAUUUACUGGGCGUAAAGCGCGUGUAGGCGGCUUGGCAAGUCGGAUGUGAAAGCCCACGGCUCAACCGUGGAAGCGCAUCCGAAACUGCUUCGCUCGAGUCUCGGAGAGGAAGGUGGAAUGCUUGGUGUAGAGGUGAAAUUCGUAGAUAUCAAGCAGAACACCUGCGGCGAAGGCGGCCUUCUGGACGAUGACUGACGCUGAGACGCGAAAGCUAGGGGAGCAAACAGG
rnacentral:rRNA from 1 species